UACGAAGGGGGCUAGCGUUGCUCGGAAUUACUGGGCGUAAAGGGCGCGUAGGCGGCAAGGCAAGUCAGGUGUGAAAGCCCCGGGCUCAACUCGGGAACUGCAUCUGAAACUGCUGUGCUUGAGUCCUGGAGGGGGUAGUGGAAUUCCCAGUGUAGCGGUGAAAUGCGUAGAUAUUGGGAGGAACACCGGUGGCGAAGGCGGCUACCUGGACAGUGACUGACGCUGAGGCGCGAAAGCUAGGGGAGCGAACGGG
rnacentral:rRNA from 1 species